rnacentral:rRNA from 1 species
GACGAACGCUGGCGGCGUGCUUAACACAUGCAAGUCGAACGGAGCACCCCUGAAGGAGUUUUCGGACAACGGAAGGGAAUGCUUAGUGGCGGACUGGUGAGUAACGCGUGAGGAACCUGCCUUUCAGAGGGGGACAACAGUUGGAAACGACUGCUAAUACCGCAUGACACAUAUUGACCGCAUGGUUGGUAUGUCAAAGAUUUAUCGCUGAAAGAUGGCCUCGCGUCUGAUUAGCUUGUUGGUGAGGUAACGGCCCACCAAGGCGACGAUCAGUAGCCGGACUGAGAGGUUGACCGGGCCACAUUGGGACUGAGAUACGGCCCAGACUCCUACGGGAGGCAGCAGUGGGGAAUAUUGGGCAAUGGACGCAAGUCUGACCCAGCAACGCCGCGUGAAGGAGAAGGCUUUCGGG